rnacentral:rRNA from 1 species
GACGAACGCUGGCGGCGUGCCUAAUACAUGCAAGUCGAACGCUUCUUUUUCACCGAGUGCUUGCACUCACCGAAAAAGAAGAGUGGCGGACGGGUGAGUAACACGUGGGUAACCUGCCCAUUAGAGGGGGAUAACACUUGGAAACAGGUGCUAAUACCGCAUAAUUCUUUUAACCGCAUGGUUGAAUGAUGAAAGACGCUUUCGGGUGUCACUAAUGGAUGGACCCGCGGUGCAUUAGUUAGUUGGUAGGGUAAUGGCCUACCAAGACCGUGAUGCAUAGCCGACCUGAGAGGGUGAUCGGCCACACUGGGACUGAGACACGGCCCAGACUCCUACGGGAGGCAGCAGUGGGGAAUAUUGCGCAAUGGGGGAAACCCUGACGCAGCAACGCCGCGUGAAGGAUGACGGUCUUCGGAUUGUAAACUUCUAUCGAUGGGAAGAAAAAAUGACGGUACCAAGUAAGAAGCACCGGCUAAAUACGU